rnacentral:rRNA from 1 species
UGGGGAAUAUUGGACAAUGGGCGAAAGCCUGAUCCAGCCAUGCCGCGUGUGUGAAGAAGGUCUUCGGAUUGUAAAGCACUUUAAGUUGGGAGGAAGGGUUGUAGAUUAAUACUCUGCAAUUUUGACGUUACCGACAGAAUAAGCACCGGCUAACUCUGUGCCAGCAGCCGCGGUAAUACAGAGGGUGCAAGCGUUAAUCGGAAUUACUGGGCGUAAAGCGCGCGUAGGUGGUUUGUUAAGUUGGAUGUGAAAUCCCCGGGCUCAACCUGGGAACUGCAUCCAAAACUGACUGACUAGAGUAUGGUAGAGGGUGGUGGAAUUUCCUGUGUAGCGGUGAAAUGCGUAGAUAUAGGAAGGAACACCAGUGGCGAAGGCGACCACCUGGACUAAUACUGACACUGAGGUGCGAAAGCGUGGGGAGCAAACAGGAUUAGAUACCCACGUAGUCCCUGAGCGGGCUGGCAAGGCGCAU